GCCACUGUAGCACAAUGGCUAGUGCGUUGCCUUCCUAAGGCAAAGGUUGUGGGUUCGAGUCCCAUCCGUGGUU
rnacentral:tRNA from 1 species